CCUACGGGAGGCAGCAGUGGGGAAUAUUGCACAAUGGGCGAAAGCCUGAUGCAGCGACGCCGCGUGAGGGAUGACGGCCUUCGGGUUGUAAACCUCUUUCAGCAGGGAAGAAGCGAGAGUGACGGUACCUGCAGAAGAAGCGCCGGCUAACUACGUGCCAGCAGCCGCGGUAAUACGUAGGGCGCAAGCGUUGUCCGGAAUUAUUGGGCGUAAAGAGCUCGUAGGCGGCUUGUUGCGUCGGUUGUGAAAGCCCGGGGCUUAACCCCGGGUCUGCAGUCGAUACGGGCAGGCUAGAGUGUGGUAGGGGAGAUCGGAAUUCCUGGUGUAGCGGUGAAAUGCGCAGAUAUCAGGAGGAACACCGGUGGCGAAGGCGGAUCUCUGGGCCAUUACUGACGCUGAGGAGCGAAAGCGUGGGGAGCGAACAGGAUUAGAUACCCUGGUAGUCCUCGCCGUAAACGUUGGGAACUAGGUGUUGGCGACAUUCCACGUCGUCGGUGCCGCNGCUACGACAUUAACGUUACCCGUCCCGUCGGGUAGGUACGGCCGCGACGGACGUAAACGUUAAAACGGUAAAGUUAGUACGGCGUGAGACGUCGCCGACGGACGACGACGAGGGAGGUAGG
rnacentral:rRNA from 1 species